rnacentral:rRNA from 1 species
UACGGAGGAUGCGAGCGUUAUCCGGAUUUAUUGGGUUUAAAGGGUGCGCAGGCGGAUUUUUAAGUCAGCGGUCAAAUCGUGGGGCUCAACCCCAUCCAGCCGUUGAAACUGGGGAUCUAGAGUGUGCGAGAGGUAUGCGGAAUGCGUGGUGUGGCGGUGAAAUGCAUAGAUAUCACGCAGAACCCCGAUUGCGAAGGCAGCAUACCGGUGCACAACUGACGCUCAGGCACGAAAGCGUGGGUAUCGAACAGG